ensembl:misc_RNA Metazoa_SRP Metazoan signal recognition particle RNA
GCAUAGCGCAGUGGUAUGUGUCUGUAAUCCUAACUACUUGGGAGGCUGAGGCAGGAGGAUCACCCAGGAGUUCUGGGCUGUAGUGCACAAUACCGAUCAAGUGUCCACACUAAGUUUGGCAUCGAUAUGAUAAUUGACGUUCCAGGAGCAGGGAACUACCAGGUUGCUUCAGGAAGGGUGAACCAGGUUGGAAACUGAGCACAUCAAAAUUCCUGUGCUGAUCAGUGGUGGGAUUGUGCCUGUGAAUAGCUACUGCAUUGCAGCCUGGGCAUUAUAGCAAGACUCUGUUUAUU